rnacentral:rRNA from 1 species
GCUCAGUAACACGUGGACAACGUACCCUAAARUGRAGCAUAAUCUCGGGAAACUGAGGAUAAUUCUCCAUAGACCWUGARAUCUGGAAUGACUUAUGGUUCAAAGUUCCGGCGCUUUAGGAUCGGUCUGCGGCCUAUCAGGUAGUAGUGGGUGUAACGUACCCCCUAGCCGUUGACGGGUAUGGGCCUUGAGAGAGGGAGCCCAGAGUUGGAUUCUGAGACACGAAUCCAGGCCCUACGGGGCGCAGCAGUCGCGAAAACUUCACAAUGGGCGAAAGCCCGAUGAGGGAAUUCCUAGUGCUAGCACUUUUGUGCUAGCUUUUCUUCAGCGUAGAUAACUGGAGGAAUAAGGGCUGGGUAAGACGGGUGCCAGCCGCCGCGGUAAUACCCGCAGCCCGAGUGGUGGUCGAUUUUAUUGAGUCUAAAACGUUCGUAGCCGGUCUAAUAAAUCCUUGGGUAAAUCGGAAGGCUUAACUUUCCGAAUUCCGAGGAGACUGUUAGGCUUGGGAUCGGGAGAGGUAAGAGGUACUUCAGGGGUAGGGGUAAAAUCCUGUAAUCCUUGGAGGACCACCGGUGGCGAAGGCGUCUUACUAGAACGAAUCCGACGGUGAGGGACGAAGCCCUAGGUCGCAAACGGGAUUAGAUACCCCGGUAGUCUAGGGUGUAAACGCUGCAGACUUGGUGUUGGGGGCCCUUCGGGGGCAUUCAGUGCCGGAGAGAAGUUGUUAAGUCUGCUACUUGGGGAGUACGUCCGCA